GGCUGGUUAGCUCAGUCAGUUGAGCAUAGUGCUAACAACGCUAAGGUCGCAGGUUCGAUUCCCGUGCAGUCCC
rnacentral:tRNA from 1 species